AAUAUUUUUUAUAUAUAUAUAUAUAUAUAUAUAUACCAUCAGUCUUCCACUUUUUAGUAUCCAUUAUUUUCAUAGCUCUAUUAACUUAUUAGGGGUUGAAAAUUGGUGAUUUUCUGAAUCCCUCAUUCCUUUUCCUUUAUCAGCUGAAUUUCUUCUAUAAAGAAGAAUUUUCCCUUAGUAACAAUUUGGUCACUCUAAAAUUCAGUUUGUAAAGGAAAUCCAGGAUUUAAUCGAUAUCCUUUAUUAGUAUUCAGAAUGAGUUAGUGCCCCAGCAGCCUGUAAUUAUGACUAAUUACCUUGUUACCAUGAUGAACUCAUGGAUUUUUAUAUCUUUGAUAUGUUUCAAUACAUUUAAUCAUUAUUAUUUCUGAUAUGCUAUUUAUUAUUUCUAUGUUAGGUCAGUGAGAGCCCCUUUUCAUUGAUUCCUUUAAGCCUUUAUUGGAUUUUGUUAGUGUGAUAAAGUUUAACUUUACGAGAAGAGAGAGCUCACCUCUGGAUACUGAUCCACUUGUGUUUUCAGACCUGCAACACUGAGAAAUAACCCUAGACUAUGGUGGAUUCAUCAAGGUGACCCUCAAUAGAGACCAGUCAUCUAGCCUCCCUUGCUUACAGUUAAUCACUCAAUAAAUGUUUUUUUUUUGAGGACCUACUCAGUGUAACAUACCCUGUUAGCUUUGGUGAAAUAACAGUGAAGAUGUAGUCCUUGAUUUUACCUACCUUACAAGAGGGAACAAAAGAGAGAAGAAAAACUAAAAUAUAGUGUAAAACUACUGUGGUUAAAAGAGGACACUACUCUGUAGGAGCACAGGGAAGGGCCUCCUACUCAGACUUAAGGGAAGGCUCCUUGGAAAAAGAGUCAUUCUACUGAUCCCUUUAGGAUAAGUAGGAGCUAGAAGGUCAAGAGAAAGGAAAGAGAGACAGAGCCAGUGCAGUUUGUAAAAUCCCAGAGAGAAAGCCCAGGGUGGUCAGGGUACUCUAGGCUGGGGUGUGAAAAGGGAAGUAGCAAGACAUCAAGGUUAAAUGAGAUAAUGCUAUACUGGUUAAGUACUAAAAAGUACUUAGUACAUGGCCAGCACAUAGUUAGUGCUUAAUAAAGGCUAAUAUAUAAAAAUGGAGUUCAAGCAGAUGAAAGUUAUAUAAUGAUGAAUUUUGCACUGAGGCCUCACAUAAGAUAAAGAGAAAUGAAGGUGGAAGAAAACCUCACCAAAAUUUAGAAUUACGUUACAGUGGCAUCUGUAAACAGAGAGGGAGAUGGGAUGUUUAAGAGAUUGUAAAGGCAAUUCCUUCAGCUUGAUGUUAUCAGGGACAGAAACUUUAAAACUCUGAAUGUUAGGGAAGAGAUCUGAGUCAUUACAUUAAAAAAACUAUUUUGUAACUAUAUCAAGCUUACAGAAAAGUUGCAAGUGUAUACAAAGAACUGUUUUUUCCUGAACCAUUUGAAAGCAAGUUGCUGAUGUUAUUAUGAUGUCCCAUUAACCUAAAUAUUUUAAUGUUUAUUUCCUCAAACAACAUACUCCUAUGUAACCGCAAUAAGAUCAACUAAAUCAGAAAAUUAACAUUGUUUACAUUUCUACCAUCUAUCCCUCAGGCUCCAUUCAAGUUUGGCCAAUAGUCCCAGCACUGUCCUUUAUAGUAAAAGGAUUCAGUUCAGAAUCAUGCAUUGCAUUUACUCAUUAUGUCUCAUUAAUCUCCUUCAGUCUGGAAAAGUUCCUCAGUCCCUCCUUGACUUGCAGACCUUGACAGUUUUGAGGAUUACAGGUCAGUUAUUUUGUAGCACCUCUCUGAAUUUGGGUUGGUCUGAUGUUGCCUAGAUGUUAGUUUCAGGUUAUGUAUCUUUGACAGGAAUACCACAGAAAUGAUGGGAUGCUCUUCACAUUGUAUCCUAUCAGAUGACAUGAUUUCAGUUUGUCCUAUUACUGAUGUUAAUUACUUUUGAGCUCCUGAUGAAGGUAUUGUCUGCCAGGUUUCUAUACUGUAAAGUUGCUCUUUUCCCAUUGUGUGGAGGGAAGGUUCAUCAAACUUUACAUUUAUUUGAACAAAAAAAGUAUUGAUAACUUAUAAACAGCUGAAGUGCUCAGGUCCUGUGAGCUGGUAUCAUGGGGGUGGGAGAGGUGAGUAUCUCUAUUUUCAUAUUUCUCUAAUAGAAGAAAAGAAAAGCAAUGUUUCUGUAACUUCUUAGAAUUCAAUACGACAAUCUCCAAUAAUUAAUAAAUACGAAUUUUGUUGUUGAUGUGGAAUUAUUUUAGAACUUUGUUUUUGUGAAUUUCAGUGAAAAUAAAACAGAUAUCUGAGGAAAAAAUGAGACAGCCUCAGAUUUAAAAAAUAAAAUUAGCUUCCCUAUUUUCAGUAAAAUAGAGACUGGGAGCAGGGAAAUCUUUUCAUCUCAGUCCAUCAUGGCAGCAGAAAAUCAGGGCUUGUUAAUGUUGAUGUUGUACAACCUAUCUUCAAUGUUGGGAACUGACAUCUAUAGUCUCAGGACACCUAUGGACUGAUUCUCUGAUCAUCCUAGAGAAUAUGAAAGGGAUUAGGAGAUAGCACAAGCACAGUCACUGCAGUCUGUCUGAGAAACACUGGUUCUGCAUAUAUGCCUUUUUUAAAAAAAUAAAUAAAUGAUAGAAAUCAAAAAAGAAAAGAAAAAAAACCCACAAUGUUUCUGAAUGGAAAGAACUCUGAAAUUGGAAUCAGGUUGAGUACUAGGUGCAGUUCUGCCACUGUAUAAAUCUGCUAAGACUGACAUUACAAAAUACCAUAGACAGGGUGGCGUAAACAACUGAUGUCUAUUUUCUUACAAUUCUGGAAACUGAAAGUCCAAGAUUGUGGUGCCAGAGUUCGUUUCUGGUGAGAUCUCUCUUCCUGGCUUGUAGACGGUAGCCUUCUCACUCUGUCCUCAUGUGGCUUUCCUCUGUGUUCUCACAGAAAGAGAGAGAUCUUUGGUGUCUUCUGCUCUUCCUAAAAGGACAGCAGUCCUAUCAGAUUAGAGGUCCAGCCUUUUGACCUCAUUUAACCUUCACUACCUCCCUAAAGGUCCUAUCUCCAAAUAUAGUCACACUGUGGGUUAGGGCUUCAACAUAUGAAUUUGGGGGGAGGGAACACAAUUUGGUCUAUAACAGCCACUAAGGAAUGACUACUGCUUUGUGCUUCCAUUUUCUCCAUCAGGGGUCCCAGCUGGAGCCUAUGCUAUAUCUCCUUAGGAUUCAAGCAUUGCUGGAGGACUGGUGGAGCAGGACUUCAGGACUCUAUUUAUAUAUAGCUCCUAGAGUAUCUUAGGAAAGAAGCCAUGCUAAGAGAGAGCUGAGUCCCCAAGCCUGGUUCAAGGAUGAGAGCCACUGUCAGAAAGGAGAAGAAAUGGUGAAAGCAUCAUGGUCUCUGUCAUUUAGAUCAGCCUCCAGCUCAGCCUCCAUGGAUUCAUGCUUCUGUCAUAAGGAAUAAUCCACUACUGAGGACCCAAUGCCCCACAAAGUGAACCUUGGCCUCCCACAGAAGAACGCUUUAAGGAGCUACCAACUCAUUUACCUUUGCUCUAGUGCAGCACCCAUAUUAUGGGUGGUAAGAGUCCUGAAUCAAUCUUUUGCCAGUGACAGAGGGGUCGACCACAACAAAUGGGCAGUUUGCACAUGAGACUUAAUGUACAACUCCUUGUUCGUUUUUCCUUGACAGUGGAAGGACACUGGACCUGACAUACAGAAGUCUCUCAGUAAAGAUUUGCUGUUUUUGAAAUUCAAUGGACACUGACCAGAUCUGUGAAUAAGAAGGCUCUUGGAUAAGAGUGAAAAAAAUGGAUGACACCAAUGUAUCUCACAUGGAGGAAACUGUCUUUAUGAAAACUCUUUGAAAUGCCCUGCAGACACAGAUGUCAGCAGAUGCCCAGCUCAGACAAGGGGAAGCUGUUUUGCAUGAAACAAAGAGAGGAACAUGGUUUAUUGCUUGUGAAAAGGAGGGGGAAGAAAGAAGGUAUUGGUCAACACUCUUGCAAUUGCAAAUGACAGAAAUUUAACUCAAUGUGGCUUAAGGGAAAACCCAGAUAUCUAGUUAGACAUGGUUGGAUUCAGGAAGUCAAACUUUGUCAUCCAUAUCUGCGUUUUCUCUCCAUCUCUUGAUUUUGUUUUCCUUUGUCUUGAUUCACUCUCAAGCAGACUCUUCACUUGUGCUGGCAAAGAUGGGCACUAGCAAUGCUAGGCUGACCUUUCUACCAGCUCAGUGACCCCAGGGGUAAGAGUCCUUCACUCACCAAGAGUUCUCUCAAGUCUAUCCCUGAGUAGCAGUCUGGCCGGGGAGAUGGAAUGUACGGAUUAUGUGGGUUUCGUCACUUGUUUGGAUCACUGGAAUAGGCUGGGGUCAGCCCUGCUCAAGUCAUGUAGAAGUUCCAAAAAUAAUUUGCAGAGUUCCUGGCAUGGAGCUUCUAGAACCCUUGGAAUUUCCUGAGUGACUAAAGUGUCUUUAUUAUUCAUGAGUCCCUUGGAUCACUCCUGAGUUUAUGCUAAUGAGGGCACUCAUGGUGGGACCCUGCAUAGCUUCAAGAUUGAGACUGGUCACCAGAAAGACCAACCACUGAUUAGAAGGUUGGGACUUUGAGCCAGCCCAACCUCCAGGGAGGGAAGAAGGAUUGAGUUCAAGUGCAUGGUCCAUGAUUUAAUCAGUGAAACUCCAAUAAACCUUUGGACAGCAAAGCUCAGUGGAGGUUCCUUGUUGGUGAACUCAUGUUGGGAAGAUGAGGUGCCCUCGUCCCAUGGGGAGAGGGCACAGAAGCUCUGUGUUCAGGACCUUCCAGACCUUGCCCUAUGUGUCUCUUCAUUUGGCUGGUCUGAUUUGUAUCCUUUAAAACUCUAAUUGUAAGUAUAGUGCUAUCCUCAGUUUUGUGUCAUUCUGCUGCAUUAUAGAACCUGAGCGGGGUUGGAGGAACCCUCUGGAUUUGUAGCCAGUUGGUUGGGAGUAUGGGUGGCCUGGGCCCCUACUUGCUCCUGGUGUCUGGAGUGGGGGCAGUCUUGUUGGAGACUGUGCCCUUACAGCUGUGGAGUCUGACAAUAACUCUGGUUGCUUAGUGUCAGAAUUGAAAUUGCAGCACAACAGAUGACGUCAGAAUAGUUGGGGUUGAAACAGAAUAGGAUUGAGUCUGGAUCCAUGCACUGCAGAACAGUGGAAGAGGUGUGGAGCCAGGAGCCUAGAGGCCAGGUGGUUAUGAUAACAGAAGAUCACUGGGAAGAAACUGAAAUCUUGAAGAGGGCUUUGGAUUUUCACAGGAUAAGGAGUUGGAGAGAAGAGGAGUUUAAGCCAAUUUUAUCUCAACCUUUCAGCAGAGGAGGGUCCCCAACUGAACUGAGUUACAUACAUUCAUCUUUGCUAUAAGAAUCUGUGUUCACUUUUAUGAAGUGAUUACAACUUUUCCAAGUGAACAAAGUUCUUUCACUCACUCAUGGUCAGACUCACUUAUCUUACACAUGUGCAUUCAAAGACCUUCCAGUCACUCUCAGAGCCAGGUGUAGAAGCAGAGAAUGGAAGUGCUGGCUGAUGCAGGAUAGUGGAUUUGCAAGGCGAGUGCAAGAAAAAGUCAAGAGGGCAAGAUACAUCAACGAGGAUGUGUCUGUUCUGUCUGUAAAAGCCCCAAAUGCCAGAAAGUUCAGUGGUGUGUGUGUGUGUGUGUGUGUGUGUGGUGGCAGCACAUAUCAACUCAAUGUUUUAGGGAGCAGUAUGAACUCAGGACCAUAUCAGCUCACAUAAAUUAACAUUCCCACUUCUGGCUGGUUUGAUGAAUACUCCUGGUUCAUAAGUCAAUGUGUGAGUUUCCCCAUAGAGCAGGCCCUCCACAAAAACAUGUAAAAUACCGUAUUGUAUUUUCCUCACAAAUAAUCACUGAGAAUGGUUGAGUCUUAUUCCCUUUGUCUUUUGUUUUUAAACUAGGGUUAAUAAUAAAAUAAACUUUAGGUUUUUUUUGUUUUUUCUAAUUUAUUUUAUUUUUGGCUGCGUUGGACCUUCCUUGCUGCACACAGGCUUUCUCUAGUUGUGGUGAGUGGGACUACUCUUCACUGCGGUGUGUGGACUUCUCAUUGCGGUGGCUUCUCUUGUGGAGCACGGGCUCUAGGUGCGUGGGCUUCAGUAGUUGUGGCUCGCGGGUUCUAGAGCACAGUAGCUGUGCACAGGCUUAGUUGCUCCGUGGCAUGUGGGAUCUUCCCAGACCAGGGCUCGAACCCGUGUCCCCUGCAUUGGCAGGCAGAUUCUGAACCACUGUACCCCCAGGGAAGCCCUAGUUUAGUUUUAAUAAGCCAUUGUCACAAUCAGGAUCAUAAACAUAUCCGUCACCCCCAGAGUUUUUGGUGCCCUUUGUGAUCUCCCUCCCACUCUUUCUCCCAAACCCAGACAACAACUGAUCUCCUUUCUGUCACUAUAGAUUUGUUCACAUUUUCUAGAAUAUUUUAGCAAUGGAAUCAUAUGCUAUAUAUUCUUUUUUUAUGUGGCUUCUUUCACUCAGCAUAAUUUGUUGAGAUUCAUAACUUGUUCAUUCUUUUUUAUUGCUGGGUAGUAUUCCAUUGUAUGAAUAUACCUCAAUUUGUUUAUCCAUUCACUUGUUGAUGAACAUUGGUACAAUUUCAUAAGUUUUGAUAUACAUAUACACACGUGGAGCCAUUGCUCCAACCAAGAUACCCAUCACCACCAAAAGUUUAUCUCCAGUGUUUGGCUAUUACAAAUAAAACUACUAUGAAUAUUCAUGUAAGAGAACUUCUAUGGAUAUAGCUUUCAUAUGUUUUCUCUUUAGUAAGUAUCUAAGAUUAGAAUUAUUACAUCAUUUGGUAGGUAUACCUUUAACUUUUUAAGACACUUCCAAACUGUUUUUUAAGAAACUGUUUUCUAACCUAGUAUACAUCACCACUCUUCUAAAUUCUCGCCAACACAUGGUUUGGUAAGUCUUUUUAAUAUUUUACAUUCUAAAAAGUAUAUUGUAUUUUAUCAUGGUUUUAACUUGCAUUUCCAUAAUGGCUAAUGAUAUUGAGCAACUUUUCAUAUGUUGUUAAGAGUUCCUUUCUUUUUCCUGUUCUUUAUAUGUAUAUAUUAACCCUUUACUAUAUGGGGAAAAAUGCUUCUCCAAAUUUUUGCUCAUUACUGAAAUUUCAUAUUGAUGGCUAAUAAUUUCUAUUAUAAUUAAUGUAAUAACUAUGGUAUUUUCUAAUGGAAAAGUAGGUCUAAGCUUGAUAUUAUAAUAAUAUUGAUAGUGAACUCCAACCUUUAGAUGACUCUAAAUUUUGUCAUUUUAUGAAUAAAAGGUGAAAAGUUCUGAAGCAACUGAGAAUUUAGCAGCAGUUGCAGUAUUGAUGUUAGCCAUUUUCUUAUUUUUUGGAAGCUCUGAAAAUCAGUGUGAUCUGACUCUGCAAUGAGUUUGGGAACUGCUUUGCCCAAAAUCAGAGUGAUUUUUGUAAAAGCUAAAACAUUUAUUUCAGCUCAACAUGGUGGCCUCUGAGAAUACAUUUAGCAGAGAACAUCAACUAAUGCAAUCUUACUAUAUUUUCAGAGACUCUGAAUGUUCAUCUUUAAAUGGAAUAUUCUCUUUGUAUUAGGGGACUUGCAUAAGUUGCAUUUAUAGUCACCCUGGGCAUAAAUUCAGUGUGUAAAAUCUGGCUCAAUCUUCCCAUUCCAGAUGAGGAAACUGGGGCCCUGGGAAGUAGAGAUUUGCCCAAGGGAAUCUGGUGAGAUAGUGGCAGUGAGCACAGUUUAGGUAAGGUGGGCAAUGCUCUCUAUCCUGUCUCUUCUCUGAGUGAGAUCAACAGUGAGUAAAUUAUAAGACCAUAGAAAGUGAGUGCUGAAAGGAGAAUUAGAGACCACUCAGUCUACUCCUCUUAUUGUAAAGUGAGAAAACUGAGGCCUGUGGCAGGGGAGCAGCAUGUCCAAGGCCAUGCAUAGCAAGUUUAUCACAUAAUUGAGACUGAAAGUUGGGUCUCCUGAUGCUUAGUUUUCAGGAUGGCUGAGCAGGUCUGCUGCCUCUCCAGUGAAUGAAGGGCCAGAGUCCGGGACUUCGCACAAAACUUUGAUGGGAUUUGGAAGAUUUCCUUGUGGAGGUGACAAGCACUCGAGUUGUCUUUAUAGCCCCAGUAAUAAGAUGAUGGCAUCAUCCAUAUUCCCUCUACCAAUGACUCUUCCAUGGCAACGUAGCUGAGACUGAGGCUAAAGGGCCAAAAAGGAUCACCUCCCAAAUAAACUACGUGAACCCAAGUAUUUAUCUUAGGCUCUGCUUUUUGGGAAAUCUAAAUUAGUUAGCUGAUACCAGGAGUGACCUCAGAGUGAACACCCUCAGGAUGGAUUCUGGAACUGAAUCACUCACUGAUCAGAUGGCAACAAGGACUCUGCUGUUGAUGAUAAGUUGAGCAGUGAUAACCCCUGAUAGGCUGUGCAGUCACAACGACUAAACUCUUCACCUGUGGAAGACUGGAAGUACAAGUGGAAGGAAUACACCAGACUAUGUAGUAGCUCUAGCACAGGGAUUCUCAGCCAUUUAAAAAAAUAUUGUCCCCCUAGGGAGAAAAAUUAAAUUAAUUUAAAGUAUUCUGGGUGGGAGGUGGGCAAAAGAGGUGAAGGUGAUCAAAAGGUACAACCUUCCAGUUAUAAAUAAGUCUGGGAAAUGUAAUGUACAGUAUGGUGACUAUAGUUAAACAUACUGUUUUGCAUAUUUGAAAGUUGCUAAGAGAGUAUGUCUUAAAAAUUCUCAUCACAAGAAACAAAAAUUGUAACUGUAUAUGGUGAUGGAUGUUAACAACUUAUGGUGGCAAUCAUUUCAUAAUAUAUACAUGUAUUAAAUCAUUAUGUUGUACACCUAAAAUGAAUAAUAUGUUGUAUAUCAAUUAUAACUCAAUAAAUUAUCCCUAGCCAGGGAAAUGAAAUACUAAGGAAUAA